GUCCAAAACACGCGGAUCCUAGGCGGGUUUCGAGUCAGAGCUUGGGAUGGGUCGUUAAACGACGCAGUUUUGGAGCUAUUGAACUCAGCCCCAAACGACGUCAUUCCAAUAGUUUAUAAAAGGAAAAAAUAUAUAUAUUAAAACAGAUCAUUUUUUUCAUGUUUUCAGGAAAAAAAAAAGAAGAGAAAAAAAGGGGGGAGCUCUCUCGGGUCUUAUUAUCUGGCGAUCGGACCACCGUUGGUCUGUUGCCGACGAACACCGCCUACGGUGGCCGGAGGCAUGAAAUCGGCCUCUUUUCAACUCGUUUUUCUUCCCCGACCCUAAAUCUGCAGUCAUAACACCUAAAAAACCCUCGAUCGUUGAAAGAAAUCGAGAAAACCAUUCAGUUUCCUUCCUUUCGAUGGCCCAAAAAAGGUUCGAUUGACGUGGAUGUACAAAGGCCGUACAAAGGCAACACAUGGGGUGUACGGCGUAUAGAGGCGCUGGAGACUGCUGUUGAGGAAGCUACGAUGCUGUGCUAGGGUUUCAAUUUCUAAAGCCACACUCUGGGCCAUUUGGGCUCAUUUUAAGAUUGGGCAUGCAAAUUUGGGUCAGAUUGGGUUCUUAUUGUAAAAUGGGUUUUGAAAUUUAGGCUUUAAUUUGUAUUUGGGCUGGUGAAGGUUGUAAGUGGACUAUUUGGACUGUUUUAAUUUGGAUUUUAUUUAAUUUUUAUUUUAAUUUA